rnacentral:rRNA from 1 species
ACGGGAGGCAGCAGUGGGGAAUAUUGGACAAUGGAGGAAACUCUGAUCCAGCGACGCCGCGUGAGUGAAGAAGUAUUUCGGUAUGUAAAGCUCUAUCAGCAGGGAAGAUAAUGACGGUACCUGACUAAGAAGCCCCGGCUAACUACGUGCCAGCAGCCGCGGUAAUACGUAGGGGGCAAGCGUUAUCCGGAUUUACUGGGUGUAAAGGGAGCGUAGACGGCGAUGCAAGUCUGAAGUGAAAGGCGGGGGCUCAACCCUUGGACUGCUUUGGAAACUGUAUUGCUAGAGUGCAGGAGAGGUAAGUGGAAUUCCUAGUGUAGCGGUGAAAUGCGUAGAUAUUAGGAGGAACACCAGUGGCGAAGGCGGCUUACUGGACUGUAACUGACGUUGAGGCUCGAAAGCGUGGGGAGCAAACAGGAUUAGAUACCCUGGUA